GAGAGACAGAUGUAACACAGCAGCCUUGGUUUGGCUCACCUCAGAGACAGUAGGGGCGAGCUGAGAGAGAGAGAGAGAGACCAUAGCAGAGUGUAUGUUGUACAGGGAGACAGUAGCAGAGCUCUCUAUCUGCCCUAGGCUAGGUCAUGUCUGUUACUGUAACCAUCACACAACCUGUGAAGCCCGACAUGGAGCCAGGACCCAACAACAGAACAAUACAACAGGAGGGGAACGCUGUCCCCUGCAGUCCCCUGCAGUCUCCAACCCUGCAGUCUCCAACACUGCAGUCCCCUGCAGUCCCCUGCAUUCUCCAACCCUGCAGUCUCCAACCCUGCAGUCCCCUGCAUUCUCCAACCCUGCAGUCUCCAACCCUGCAGUCUACAACCCUGCAGUCCCCUGCAUUCUCCAACCCUGCAGUCUCCAACCCUGCAGUCUCCAACCCUACAGUCUCCAACACUACAGUCUCCAACCCUACAGUCUCCAACCCUACAGUCUCCAACCUGUAGAGUGACAGACUGCAGCACUUAGCAACAGCCCACUAUAAAUUCUGUAAACCCUAUAAACGCCCAAGACACUCAUAAAUAAAAUAAAAAUUUAAGUUUUUAGCACAAACUCUCGACAAACUCGACACUCUGGAGAAGUUAGAAUUUGGACUAAACAGCAAACACAAAACCACUGCAGCCAACCCAGUCCAGUCCCUCUCUCACAUGCAGGUCCAACAAGUUGUAAUAACAAGCUUCUCUUUUGCUAUUGUUUAUCAUUGCUAGUGGGCUUAACUUGAUUCAUGAGGCAAGGGCAGCUUCCACUUAUAGAAGCAGCUGAUCCAUCUGAACUGUUGGCAACUACACAAUGAGAUUAAUAUCAAACAUAUUGGCUUUUGGACUUUAGGAAACGUGCACUUGUUGAGUUGAGGGGUAGCUACAUUACACAGCUACAGAAAGUAAACCUAACCUAUGAUUGUGGACUAGCUUUUCCUGACCAGUGACCACAUGACCUGACAAGAAAACACUCCCUGCCCAUGAGGCUGGUGGCCUGAGGUUACCAUCUUAGAAUAGCUAAAACAUCACAAGACACACUUGACAACCCAUCCCAGCUUCGCUCAUGUUCCUUUCUCAUAUUUAUUUCAACUUUUGGGAUUGCUUCAUGCCUCACAUUGUCCCUGGGAUGCUAGAGUUUUGGGAGGGAAAGAGGCGAGUGUCAAUCGGAGACUAAUCUUUGUGACAUAUUUUCAUGUUUUCCUUACACCCUAGUAAUUGUGAUCUGUAAUUUGUCAUUUAUUUUAAGUGUAAAUGGACACCUGCUGGUUUGGGAGCCUGGCAGUAAAUUACUGUUUGAACAUUU